UUUUAUGAGAGUUUGAUCCUGGCUCAGGACGAACGCUGGCGGCGUGCCUAAUACAUGCAAGUCGAACGCUUUUUCUUCCACCGGAGCUUGCUCCACCGGAAGAAAAGGAGUGGCGAACGGGUGAGUAA
rnacentral:rRNA from 1 species